UUUCUGUGAAGGAAAAUUUAGAACGCAUGAUUGCUGUGUUCCUGAGUGGCUGUCGAGGGUAGAUCCCUUGACAACGCUCAGAGAAUGUUAAAUGACAAUGUCAGCCAAGUUGGACUGACGGUUCAAACUGUAAAAUGUUUUGAUAUUGUUUGUCGCAGUUUUCGUUUUGUCUGUUUGGUUAACCUGUUUUACUUUGACCGAAAGGAAGAAAAAGACACCGUAGUCUAGUUGCUAGAGAACCGGCUGCUGUGACCCACGGCAGAAGUUCGAUUCCAUUAUAGGUUGCACAUCACUUGUUUGUAUUAUAAAGCGAGUUAGGAACCUACCUACCUACCGCAAAGUGCCAAGAAUGAGGCAUUAAAAAGUUCGACUUUUGUUAUUUCAAAUUAUCUUUGUAAGGUGGCGCUAGUAUUAUGGUAGCAGCCGCAUUUUGUAUUUUCUUAGUUAAAUUAGCUAGCAUUUCUGUGCUUCAGGUACCGAGUACGAAGCCACACUGAGUAUUUUUCUGCAUUGCAGCAGCGUGUGUCGCAAGAGGAUGCAGCGCCGUGACGUGUCAUAGCGGCUACCUGACAAAGCGAGGAGUGGCGCGACGGCUCAUCGGCGUCAUCGCUUGCGCCGACGCAGUCUGAGCAGCCAAGCGGACUGCGCUCUCCGCGCAGCUUCCCUCCAGAUUGCGUAACUUUUGAACCCGCCGUUACAUUGACCGUUAUUUUUGUCAGGACCAGCCGUUAAGUUCCUGACGCGUAUUCGUUCAUGAACUGCGGAGCGCCAGACUGCCUUCCACAUCUUCUUUGCUCACGCACAUACCUACGUGCAAGAGAGAAGGCGCGUGAGGGUGAAGACACCGAUCAUGUACCCUCUACAGGUGCCAAAUGGGCAGACGAAAACGCCGCCGCCCAAAGGGCCACCACGAAACUCCUGAACUCCAAGAACCCAGUAAGAAGACCUGCUGAAUUAAGGAGCUACAGCCCAGCAGCCUGUUCGAAACCAGGUUUAUCAAGGUCGAUACCUGUAAUGGACGUUACCCGGAGGCACUCAUAUUUAAUGUUGAUUGCUAGCUUGUCUAGUCGUGUUUACUUUUUGCAAUAAAAAAUGUUAUUGCUGUAUGUGUUUCGUGUAUUGCACAAGCGCAAACCUGCAUGCCGCCGGCCGGCGAAACGCCGCAGGGGCAUGGGGAGA